UCUGGGCCCCACGGGCCAUUUCCCAAAAAAAUUCUACCCACGUUUCACUAGAGGUCCAGGUCAAGUAUUAGAUCCACAAUUCAAAGCAAACAGAACGGACGAUUUGAUGAAUAAUCACAUUGAAGAUCCAGAUAAAGGCCUCUCAAAAUCUUCCUCUGAACUAGGUAUGAUUUUCAAUGAAUGUGAUCAGGAAUUGAGAGACCUGGGCUACCAGAAACACGCCUUUAAUAUGCUUAUUAAUAACCGUUUGGGAUACCACAGAGAUGUGCCAGACACCAGGAAUGCAGAGUGUAGGGGGAAGUCCUUCCCCAGCUGCUAGCGUUGUUUUCUGUUUCUACAACGAAGCCUUUUCUGUCUUUUUUUUUUAAGACUCCAGAAAGGGAAUUAGAUCUCGUUACGGAUGGUCUGUUGUGGACCGCACACCGGCCCACCUUCUUCAUGAGAUCAUCCUUGUGGAUGACAGCAGUGACUCUGAUGAUUUAAAAGGAGAACUAGAUGAGCACAUCCAAAGAUACCUGCCUGCAAAAGUCAAGGUCAUAAGAAAUAUGAAGCUUGACAGAUUGAUCAGAGGAAGAAUGAUCGGAGCAGCCCACGCUACAGGAGAAGUGCUGGUGUUCCUGGACAGCCACUGUGAAGUGAAUGGGAUGUGGUUACAGCCCCUGCUGGCCAUCAUCCUUGAGGACCCACACACAGUCGUGUGCCCCCUGAUGGACAUCAUCAGUGCAGACACACUUGCUUACAGCUCAUCCCCAGUGGUUCGGGAAGGUUUCAACUGGGGGCUGCACUUCAAGUGGGAUCUAGUUCCGAUAUCUGAGCUGGGAGGCGCUGACGGUGCCACGACCCCAAUAAGGUCUCCACAAUGGCUGGAAGAUUGUUUACCAUGAACAGACAGUAUUUCAGUGAACUUGGACAGUAUAACAGUGGCAUGGACAUCUGGGGAGGAGAAAAUCUGGAAAUCUCAUUUCGGACCUGGAUAUGUGGCGGCAAGCUCUUCAUCAUCCCUUGCUGAAGAGUGAGACACGUUUUCCGAAAAAGGUGACCAUAUGGAUCUCCUGAAGGCCAGGACACCAUGACACACAACUCCCUGAGACUGGCACAUGUCUGGCUGGAUAAGUACAAGGAGCAGUAUUUUUCCUGAUUUGAAGACCAAAAACUUUGGGGAUAUCAGUGAGCGUGUUGAUUUGAGGAUUGGGCUGUCAAUUAUUCAAGUGGUAGUUGGAUAAUAUUUACCCUGAGAUGCAGAUACCUGGUCCGAAUGCCAAACCUCAGCAGCCCGUUUUCAUCAACAGGGGACCCAAGCGCCCAGAGUCCUGCUUCGUGGAAGGCUCUACCACUUGCAGACCGACAAAUGCCUGGUGGCCCAGGGCCGCUCCAGCCAGAAAGGAAGCCUAGUGCUGCUUAAGGCCUGUGACUACAGAGACCCAACUCAGGUCUGGAUUUAUAAUGAAGAGCAUGAAUUGAUUUUAAACAACCUCCUUUGCCUUGACAUGUCAGAAACUCGCUCAUCAGAUCCACCUCGACUCAUGAAAUGCCAUGGGGCAGGAGGAUCCCAGCAGUGGACCUUUGAGAAUAUCCGGCUAUACCAAGUGUCCGUUGGGCAGUGCCUGAGAGUUGUGGAUCAGAAGGGCUAUGUUGGCAUGGCGAUCUGCGAUGGCUCCUCCUCUCAACAGUGGCGCCUAGAAGGUUAAAGGUGGGCACUGGCUGGAGACAACAUAGUUAUUCACCUGGUUUUGUCAUGCCUGCCAUAAAUCAAGGUGCUUUAUGAAGGAUGUUGCUGACCACAAUAGGCAAGAACCUUGGUAGAGGGUGACCAUCUCAGGAUCUUCACUGGAAUUUGGGUUAUUUCAGAUCUGCUGUUGAGGGAUUCUUGUUUAACUGGGAAAACAGAAAAUAAUUCUGAAGAGUUGGGUCUACAGAGUAUAAACCAGGAAGUAGGUAUUUCUGUUCAUAUUUAUGUUUCUCGUAUUCUCCCUUGGAGAUGGAAUGGUUUCUGUCUAAUCAGGAACUUGUCACAAUUUCCUUUCAUA